AGCCUAAAUUCAAUCUGUUUUUAUAUAAACUGAUCGAUUAUCUUCAGAAAAUUGUACUAAACCGCUCAAUUCAUAUGGAUUGGUUUUACAAUCUCUUUAUAAACUUUUUGAGGCUUCAAAGCGUCAGUUACGUAGCUGUCAAUGGGGGGACAGAACGCUCUCAGAUUUCAUUAAAAUAUCUUCAUUUAUGAUCCGAAGAAGAAUGAAAGUCGAACGACAUGAGGACAGACUACAUGCAUUACUGUGAGAGCAUGGACAAAAACACAUGACAGAUCCCGAGCAGUAGAGGGCAGCAUCUCUCCUUGAAAGAACAUGAACGGGCCUUCCAAAUCCAGAAAAUGACGUUCAUCGCGAUUUAUUUCUCCAUUGGCAUUGACCUCUGGAGGAUCUUUAUCCAUUUGCAUAUACAUGCACAACAAAGCCUGUAGAUGUUCCAUACUCGACUUUGACUUUGGUGAGAAGAACCAUAUGCAGAAGAUCGCCGGGACUGGAGCCCUGCAGCUGGAUUUGGCUUACAGAAUGAGAGGAGUGUGUGUUGGGAUGAGAAGAUGGAGAGACAAGUGCACAGGGGUUUUCUGGGGUGAUGGCCACUCGACAGGUGGGACACUGACUGCUCUUCUCCAGCCAAACUUUGAUACAGUUGGAGCAGAACACAUGGUUGUUGCAACAAAUGACCGGCUGACGCACCUUUGAGGUGUAGAUAAGAGCAGACCAAAAGAACCACCUCCCCAUUUUGUCUCUCCUGUCAGUGGGAUCAGCAUCUCAGAAAUACACACAAAAAACGCUUGCUACUCACUUCAUCGUUCGUAAGUGGAACAAGAGCUGUGUCGACAAGAGAUGUCCAUUUCACCACAAGUCUCCAGCGGAAUGAUUCAUCCAGAGCAGUUGGAUGACACAUAAGGCUGCAAAAAGGCCCAUUCGGAGAUGACGUUGUUCAUAGAGAGGGAGAGGCUAAAGAAGCCGUCCACCCGGCCCGGCUCGAGCAGUCGUCUCUCGCCCCGGCGUGGAGCUCCUCUUUACCCUGCUCCUCUGUCCCUGAUUUACUCCCUGCGCCGCUCCGUCCCGCCGGAGCCAAAUGAGAUCCGCCGAGAGGUCCUGACCUUCCCCUCUAGGUAGCAGCUCCUCACUGGAGGUUCUUCAGUGAUGAUUGACAGGAAUUGAUCUUCUCAAGGUUCAGCUCAUCAACUGAAUGACAGCCACAGAUCAAAUAUGAUACGAAUGGGAAGGUAAUAUUGUCAUUUUUUUAACACU